rnacentral:rRNA from 1 species
CAGCCGCCGCGGUAAUGCGUAGGUGGCAAGCGUUGUCCGGAAUUAUUGGGCGUAAAGGGCUCGCAGGCGGUUUCUUAAGUCUGAUGUGAAAGCCCCCGGCUCAACCGGGGAGGGUCAUUGGAAACUGGGAAACUUGAGUGCAGAAGAGGAGAGUGGAAUUCCACGUGUAGCGGUGAAAUGCGUAGAGAUGUGGAGGAACACCAGUGGCGGAGGCGACUCUCUGGUCUGUAACUGACGCUGAGGAGCGAAAGCGUGGGGAGCGGACAGGAUUAGAUACCCGGGUAGUCCCUGUCUCUUAUAC